rnacentral:rRNA from 1 species
CAGCCGCCGCGGGAAUACGUAGGUGGCAAGCGUUGUCCGGAAUUAUUGGGCGUAAAGCGUCUGUAGGUGGCUUUUCAAGUCCGCCGUCAAAUCCCAGGGCCCAACCCUGGACAGGCGGUGGAAACUACCAAGCUGGAGUACGGUAGGGGCAGAGGGAAUUUCCAGUGGAGCGGUGAAAUGCGUUGAGAUCGAAAAGAACACCAACAGCGAAAGCACUCUGCUGGGACGACACUGACACUAAGAGACGAAAGCUAGGGGAGCAAAUGGGAUUAGAUACCCCAGUAGUCCCUGUCUCUUAUAC